rnacentral:rRNA from 1 species
CCCUCCUCAUAGCAAGUCGAGCGGUAACAGAGAGUAGCUUGCUACUCUGCUGACGAGCGGCGGACGGGUGAGUAAUGCUUGGGAAUGUACCUUAUGGUGGGGGACAACAGUUGGAAACGACUGCUAAUACCGCAUAAUGUCUUCGGACCAAAGCGGGGGACCUUCGGGCCUCGCGCCAUAAGAUCAGCCCAAGUGGGAUUAGCUAGUUGGUGAGGUAAUGGCUCACCAAGGCGACGAUCCCUAGCUGGUUUGAGAGGAUGAUCAGCCACACUGGGACUGAGACACGGCCCAGACUCCUACGGGAGGCAGCAGUGGGGAAUAUUGCACAAUGGGCGCAAGCCUGAUGCAGCCAUGCCGCGUGUGUGAAGAAGGCCUUCGGGUUGUAAAGCACUUUCAGUAAGGAGGAAAGGUUGGAUGUUAAUAGCAUUCAGCUGUGACGUUACUUACAGAAGAAGCACCGGCUAACUCCGUGCCAGCAGCCGCGGUAAUACGGAGGGUGCGAGCGUUAAUCGGAAUUACUGGGCGUAAAGCGUACGCAGGCGGUUUGUUAAGCGAGAUGUGAAAGCCCCGGGCUCAACCUGGGAACUGCAUUUCGAACUGGCAAACUAGAGUGUGAUAGAGGGUGGUAGAAUUUCAGGUGUAGCGGUGAAAUGCGUAGAGAUCUGAAGGAAUACCGAUGGCGAAGGCAGCCACCUGGGUCAACACUGACGCUCAUGUACGAAAGCGUGGGGAGCAAACAGGAUUAGAUACCCUGUAGUCCACGCCGUAAACGAUGUCUACUAGAAGCUCGGUUCCUCGGAACUGUUUUUCAAAGCUAACGCAUUAAGUAGACCGCCUGGAGAGUACGGCCCGCAAGGUUAAAACUCAAUGAAUUUGACGGGGGCCCGCACAAGCGGUGGAGCAUGUGGUUUAAUUUCGAUGCAACGCGAAGGACCCUUACCUACACUUGACAUACAGAGACUUACCAGAGAUGCUUUGGCUGCCUUCGGGACUCUGAUACAGUGCUGCAUGCUGUCGUCAGCUCGUUGUUGGUAAAUGUGGUUUAAGUCCCGCCACGAGGCGCCACCUCCCUAUCCUAGUGCAGGCGAUUUCAGGUCGGACCUCUAAGGAACUUGCCCGGUGAUAACCGGGAGUAGGUGUUACGACGUCCAAGUCACUCCCAUGGCCCG